UACGAAGGGGGCAAGCGUUGUUCGGAAUUACUGGGCGUAAAGGGCGCGUAGGCGGCUUGCCAAGUCAGGCGUGAAAUUCCCGGGCUCAACCUGGGGGCUGCGCUUGAUACUGGUGAGCUUGAAUGCGGGAGAGGAUAGUGGAAUUCCCAGUGUAGAGGUGAAAUUCGUAGAUAUUGGGAAGAACACCGGUGGCGAAGGCGGCUAUCUGGCCCGUGAUUGACGCUGAGGCGCGAAAGCGUGGGGAGCAAACAGGAUUAGAAACCCCCGUAGUCC
rnacentral:rRNA from 1 species